CAGAAAGACCCUAUGAAGCUUGACUGUAGCUUGGAAUUGGGUUCGGGCUCUUCUUGCGCAGCCUAGGUGGGAGGCGUUGAAGGUUUUCUUUCGGGGAAACUGGAGCCAACAGUGAGAGACCACUCUGGAGGAGCUAGAAUUCUAAUGGCGUUCCUUGAAGCAGGACGCUUGACAGUUUCAGGUGGGCAGUUUGACUGGGGCGGUCACCUCCUAAAAGGUAACGGAGGUGUGCAAAGGUUCCCUCAGGCUGGACGGAAAUCAGCCGGAGAGUGUAAAGGCAGAAGGGAGCUUGACUGCAAGACCUACAAGUCGAGCAGGGGCGAAAGCCGGCCUUAGUGAUCCGACGGUUCCAUGUGGAAGGGCCGUCGCUCAACGGAUAAAAGUUACUCUAGGG
rnacentral:rRNA from 2 species